UUUCAUGUCUUUUGUCUUAAUUUUCUUUCCCAUUCUUUUUUCUUUUCACUCCCAAAGCCGAGGGUACCAAACUUGUGAACUCUUUGGUUCUUUCAUGUCUUUUGGUUCUUUCAUGUCUUUUGGUUCUUUCAUGUCUUUUGGUUCUUUCAUUUCUUUUGGUUAUUUUAUGUCUUAUGUCUUAAAUCUCAUUCCCAUUCUUUUGUCUUUUGACUCCCAAAGCCGAGGGUACCAAAUUUGAGAACUCUUGUUCUUUCAUGUCUUAUGUCUUAAACCUCUCAUUCCCAUUCUUUUGUCUUUCGACUUCCAAAGCCGAGGGUACCAAACUUGAGAUCUCUUUGGUUCUUUCAUGUCUAUUGGUUUUUUCAUGUCUUUUGUUUUUUCAUGUCUAUUGGUUCUUUCAUGUCUUAUAUGUCUUAAUCUCCUUUCCUUUCUUUUGUCUUUUGACUUUCAAAGCCGAGGGUACCAAACUUUCAUGUCUAUUGGUUCUUUCAUGUCUUAUGUCUUAAAUCUCAUUCCCAUUCUUUUAUCUUUUGAAUUCCAAAGCCGAGGGUACCAAACUUGAGAACUAUUUGGUUCUUUCAUGUCUUUUAUUCUUUCAUGUCUAUUGGUUCUUUCAUGUCUUAUGUCUUAACUCUCAUUCCCAUUCUUUUAUCUUUUGAAUUCUAAAGCCGAGGGUACCAAACUUCAGAACUCUUUGGUUCUUUCAUGCCUUUUGUUCUUUCAUGUCUUUUGGUUCUUUAAUAUCUUGUGUCUUAAUCUCUUUCCCGUUCUUUUAUCUUUUGACUUUCAAAGCCGAGGGUACCAAACUUGAGAACUCUUCAUGUCUUUUGGUUCUUUCAUGUCUUAUGCCUUAAUUCUCAUUCCCAUUCUUUUGCCUUUUGUCUUCUAAAGCCGAGGGUACCAAACUUAUUUAGACGUGUGAUCACCCAACAAACUGAAACCUCUUUUUCAACUCGCAACAAGCAUGCACUACCAAGCCCACAGUUCAUAAUAUCUCUUGGGACAAAUAGAAACCUCUUUUCCAACUCGCAACAAUCAUGCACUACCAAGUCCACAGUUCACAAUUUCCCUUGGGACAAUGUCCCCAA
rnacentral:lncRNA from 1 species